UUCGAUUCGAGCGCAGCGAGAAAACGUUGCCGCAGGCAACGACCCGAAGGGUGAGGAGCGGAGCGACGAAUAAUCCUUCCCCCACCACCA
rnacentral:sRNA from 2 species